ensembl:snRNA U1 U1 spliceosomal RNA
AUGCUUAUCUAACAGGGGAGAUACCAUGACCAGGGCGGAGGUGGUUUCCCAACGGAAGGCUCUACCCAUUGCACCCCGGAGAUGCUGAUCCCUGUGAUUUCCCCAAAUGCAGGAAACCCGACUGCAUAAUUUGUGGUAAUAGCGGACAGUGUUCUGAAAUGUUUCCUUC